CCCUUACUACGCCCCACGAUUCUCAAAGAUACCUAUGUGAAUCGACAAGAAGGCAAUUUUUCUGUGGAGAAACUUGAACGGGGAGAUUAAAGCAAUCGAAAGCAAUUACGUGAAGACACGAUGGGAAUCUAGCUCAACGGGUAGAGAGAAAUUAAGGGUAACUUUUGUUUAAGAAUACCUCCAAAACCUAAAUCAGAGGCAUCUAUUUCAACUAUAAGAAAGGCAUCGGGAUGAGGAAUGGACAGACAGGGUAAAUGAUGAAUUUUUUGUUUGAUUGUUUGUACAACUCGAGUAUGUUCUUGUGUCCAGGGUUUUGGAUUUUUCUUAAGACGAUUGAAUAAAGGUUUACAGAGAAAAAAUCAGACACAUAAUUAA